rnacentral:misc_RNA from 1 species
AUAUCCUCUGCAGGUGUUUGAGC